GAAGUUCUUGGAGGAAAGGAUGCCGGGGGUCUAUUUGGAAACAGUCUCUCUACCCAAGGGUAGGGGUAAGGUCUGCGUACACACUACCCUUCCCAAAUCUGACUAAGUGAAAUUAUACUGGAUUGUUCUUGUUGUGGUAGUUGCAGAUGUUUGAAUAUCUUUUAAGCGGUAAAUUGAAACUACUAAUGGUUCUAUGUUUUUCCAAAGCUUCAUUAUAACACUAUCAAUCCUUUAAAUAAACGGUUUUAUUGUUCAAUAUGCUAAACUUUUCCCUCACCUUGGACAUUAGAUGAUUUUCUAUUUUUACAGCUUGACAUGAAUUUAAUGAGCUAAUAUGUCCUUUUUUUGGUCUAACUUCUUAGGUUCACAAGUUUUCUAUAUAUUUGAAGAAUAUAAAGGUUUGUUUCAUAUUUGGAGGAUAGGUUUGCACACUCUAGAUCGAAUAAGAUUGUUCUGGUACGACGUUACAAAUUGACUCCCAUACUUCCAGCUCAUUCUACAGUAAUCUUCUAUAUAGCAAAUAUUUGUGAGAGGGAUAAUUAAUUCAUCAUGAUACUGGAGAUGAAUGAGUAAAGUAUAAAGAUUUUAGUGGCAAUUUUAAUAUGAUCUCUUGUCACUUAGAUUUACAAGAAACCUAUAUCGUAUAUAAUUAAAG
rnacentral:lncRNA from 1 species